AGUCCCCGCUCUCUCCAAUUCGCGUCUCAUCGAGUGAAACUGGGGUUUUCUGGACGUGUCAAGAACUCGAAAGAGAGGUAAGGAUGAUGCCAGUAGAAUGUGCCCUUGCAUUUGAACUGCUGAAAAUUGAAACUCAACUCCUAUAACUGGUGUAUCUACAAUGUUACCUAUAUGAAGGUAAUGGUAACUGGUGUAUCUACAAUGUUACCUAUAUGAAGGUAAGGAUGAAGCCAGGAGAAUGUGCCCUUGCAUUUUGAACUGCUGAAAAUUGGUACUCAACUCCUAUAACUGGUGUAUCUACAAUGUUACCCAUAUGAAGUCUGCAGUCUGCUUCAAUAAAAUACAGUGCUUUGGCUUUGAGGAGCGGUGUCCGAUCCCUGGGCAGCAUUUUGACAGGCUGUGUUACUUUUAUACAGACCGAGUUUGAAUCAGUUAUCCUAGAAUGGAUGGUAUCUGAAGAAUAAUAGAGAUGCUGUUGACAUCAAUAACAUCCCCUUACAAGUUUAGGGGUUUUGGCCUCCAUAAUCAACUGUUAACCCAUAAAAUGUGCAGCCGGGUGGAUGUCCAGUGGGUCAUGUGGGUAUGCAAUGUUUUUGGACCCAUUUGGGAAGGUGUUAAGCUGUAUCAAAUGACUCACUCAACAUGGUCAAAACCCAUUGGACAAACGGGCUGCUAGAUCACCAGACAUGACAAGCUGAUAUAGACUUGCUAGGCUUUCUCGGAGGAAUUUGGAUCUCACCUGUGUAUUAGAGGGUCUGUCUAAUGCACCGGAGAGGGUGGAGAUCACUCUUGAGAGAGAGUAGACCCCAUAGGUAGAGGCACCUUGUCUCGGCUAGUUAGGUAUAUUUUUAGUCUAUACACUCCCAUACACUCUCUCAUAGUUGGACAACUCUUGAGUUUUGGCACUCUCUCAAUAGCCAAAUAUAUGAAGUAGCUCUUCUAACUUGCUUACAUUUUUGUUUAUAGGAGCACCAAUUAUUUACUUGGAUUCAACAAUGAACCAUGUUCAUUACUAGGAAAAUAAAUUUAUAUCCCAUACCGGGGAAAAUAAACAUAAAUAAAGAAAUCUAUAUCAAAUAUGGCUCAUGAAACAACAGUAUUAUAGAAUUAAUUACUGGUAUCAGAGGAUUGGAGGAUUUUAGUAUGGGAUUUUUAAUUAUUUUUAUUUGAGGAUUUUAAAAUAAGAAUUUAUUAUUUAGUUUUC